CAAAACUUGAGAGCCCUGUUUCCGUUGACUCCCGAGCUGCCCUUGCCCUAGCUAAAUCGUACAAUGAAUGGUUUAUUCUAUAUGAUUUGUAUUCUGUCAAUUUUUCUCGCACCACCCGUAUCAGGAAACAUUUGCCUUGGAACCCCUGUGGUAGUGACUAUACAAUGUAAAAACAUUUCAACCGGAGAUGGAUAUUAUAAAUACCCCUGGUCUCUGCCUCCGGGUAAAGUGUGUAAAGAUCUUGAAGUCUACGCCGACAAUCAGCCGAUACUACUGGCCCAACAUCCUAACGCAACACUCCCUAAACUAACACAGUGUCGAAACCUGACUGUGAGAUGCAUCUACGAAAUGAAUGGCACUGUAAAUGUGGAUGAGAUGUGCAGGGAAUUUGUCACCGAUUCAGAUGCUUCCUCUUUAUCAGAGCCAGAAAGACAUGAACCAUCACCCAUGGAUCAAAGUACCCAGCCAGUGGCGUUUUGGAUUACUGUUGUUGGGCCGGUGGUGGUGUUGGCGGUGGUGGGCGCAGCGUGGUGGUGUGUACGAAAAAAGAAACCGAUGCCAACCCAGAACCAAGGACUGGAGUUAACUGAAAUGAACAGACCCGACGAUGGUGAUCAGACACCAUCAGGACAUGGGGACACGACUGAAGACGGGGCUCUCCCUGAGAAGACAACUGAGAAACCGAAGAGCAAUCACUGUUACGUGGAACUGAUGAGACGGAAAACCUGCUGGAAUGGAGAUUGUAAAGAUUGAGGGCGAGGUAUAGCCUGGGUAUACCCAUGCUGCCAUGCGCGAGAUUUCAUUUUGCCCUGCUAGGCAGCCUGGAUUCCAUGGAUCCGAUGUUCGCUUCAGGGAGGGAACCAGGGCGAGGGGACAGCUAGACGAUGACGACGUCUUUGCCACACUCCAAAGCUUGUACUUUGUUCAUAUCUAUGGAUCCAACAUGGUUGCAAAUGCAAAGUUGCCUUUCGAUGCAGCCUUAGAUAGUGUUCUAAGUAGUUAAGAACGCAAGAUGGUUUAAUUGAUACGAUGGUUUAAUUGAUACGAUUGGCUAUGAGCUACGUACAAACGCAUUUGAUAGACAUUCGUAAACACUCUGGGCAUUCGUAAACCACGCCUUAAAUACGAGAAAAUUAAUGUGUGGUUCCCAGACCAAAUCUCAAUGUAGAUUGAGGUGAGGUCUGGUGUUAGCCAGGAUUGUUGAAGUAUGCAAUUAUAUGAAAAUAGUACAAUGGUAUAGGAGAGACUUAUAUUCACAUGAGAAAGAUAUUUAGCUUUCUAAGUUUAGAUUUAGCUUUCUGCUAAAUCUUAAGUACAUUGCACUUUCUAUAAUGCAUUCUUCAAGAUUUGCAUGUAAAUUAAAAAAAUAUGUAUUAUAAAGUUAAUGAGGGCUGGCAAAUGUCCAGUUGGAAAGUUGUAAAUAUAUACAAAGGAACUCAAACAAUUUGAGGGAGGGUGGGGGCUUGCAACAGUGAGAGACCAUGUUAGGAGUUACUCAAUCUUUGGGGUGGGAUGGGACAUUUUUGCGUAGGUAGAGCUUUCAGAAAUUACUGUGCAGGGUUUCAUUUCUGUUUACAUUGAAACACCUUCUUCAUGAAAUGCAUUCAGAGAUGGAAUUGCUGUUUGAACUUUGCUUACUGUGACUUGUGAGAGUCAGCCCACAGUGUGAAGUCUUACAGCCUGCCGUCUGA
ensembl:lncRNA